rnacentral:tRNA from 1 species
UUCCUGGCAGUUCAAUAGUUAGGACUCUGCACUCCCACUGCCGACAGCCCAGGUUCAAUCCCUGGUUGGGGAA